GAUGAACGCUGGCGGCGUGCCUAAUACAUGCAAGUCGAGCGAACAGACGAGGAGCUUGCUCCUCGGACGUUAGCGGCGGACGGGUGAGUAACACGUGGAUAACCUACCUAUAAGACGGGGAUAACUUCGGGAAACCGGAGCUAAUACCGGAUAAUAUAUUGAACCGCAUGGUUCAAUAGUGAAAGACGGUUGUGCUGUCACUUAUAGAUGGAUCCGCGCCGCAUUAGCUAGUGGGUAAGGUAACGGCUUACCAAGGCAACGAUGCGUAGCCGACCUGAGAGGGUGAUAGGCCACACUGGAACUGAGACACGCUCCAGACUCCUACGGGAGGCAGCAGUAGGGAAUCUUCCGCAAUGGGCGAAAGCCUGACGGAGCAACGCCGCGUGAGUGAUGAAGGUCUUCGGAUCGUAAAACUCUGUUAUUAGGGAAGAACAAAUGUGUAAGUAACUAUGCACGUCUUGACGGUACCUAAUCAGAAAGCCACGGCUAACUACGUG
rnacentral:rRNA from 1 species